GAAGGAGAACACCCUUUGCCCUUGGCCCUUGGCAUUCUCAGUGCACUGCUGCCAUCACCCAGAUUCAGUUUGCGGAUUCCGCCAGCAAGUCCCUGUGCUUCCUCGGAAAUGGAGGCCAGCGGCUUAGGGAAGGGCUCUGACCUGGGUCCCCAGGACCAAAGCGGUUCUCUUGUCAGCUCCAUGACCCAGCUUCUAUGUUGCCUGUCCUUGGUCAGCUUGAAUCUCUUGAGAGAGCUGAGUCCUGUGUGUGCCUAGGCCCUGCCACAGGGACCUGGACGAUCUGCCUUUUGAGACAAGGUUGUUGAUGUCCUGUGCCCCCGGUGGACCCUGCUUCUGGUGAUGUGGGGCAGCAUCCACCUGAAUGCUCUUCAACACGAAGCCCAAGAUUUUGGAAGGAAGCCCUUCUCCUCUCCUAUCUCAAUAUGAGACCAUCAGUCCAUGGGUUGUAGUCUCCUCUGGUGUCACAACUUCCUGUGUGCUCUUGGUUCUGGGACAUUACCAACCCACUGCUCUAGCAGGUCCGGGGUCAGCCUUGGAGGCCCCUUCUUUGCUCGCCACCUUGACCUGGAAGCUUGGGUCAGCAGACCUAAGGCCAUCCUGGCAGCUGUACUGCUCACCCUGUGUUAUUCUAAGUAAAGUUUCCCCUGGGAGCAAGUUAGAAUUCUCUACUGCAGACCUACCCAGCAGUUUACAUUUGAACAUCAUUCUUCAGGGAUUCAUAAAAUAUUUAUACAAAGAUCAAGAUCGUUAUCCAUUAAAAGUUCACAUUUUAAGUAUUCGGCCUCCAGAUUUCUGUCCUCAAAUUCCUGCCUUGACUUCCUUCCACAGUGGACUGUUACCUGUAAGCCAAAUAAACCCUUUCCCAGAAUUGUUUUGGUCUGUGCUUUGUCACAGCAGUAGAGAAACAAGCUACCACACCAGGGAACCAUUUUGCCACUGUUCUCCAGGCUCUGCAUUGGCAUUUUGUUUUCUUGUUAUACAUUUUAUUCUUUAAGACAAUAUUUAAAUUCAUACUUUGAUCAUGAUUUCCCCAUCCCACAAGUCCUUCCAAAUCCUCUACCCUUCCCUACCCAUCCAACUUUAAAUUCUUUCUCAAAACAAACAAACAAACAAACAAACAAAUAAAUAAACAAAAACCAAUUCUUAGAAAGUAUGUAGUUAUACUUGGUUUCAAUUUUAUGGCUUUAUUUUGAGAAGAUACUAAUUUUAGAUUGCCACUUUUUCUAACAUACUGUAUUUUAUCAUCAUUAUUUCCACAAGUAUCUUAUUUUUAAACUUUUGUUUCAGUAGAGCUAAAGCUUAUCAGAAAUUUGCUCUUACUUAUAAAUCCCUUUAAUUUGUUAAAUGAGUCCUCUUUACGUACUUUAAGAAGGAAUUGCGUUUUAGUGAGAGACAGAAAGUGAGUGGAUUAGGAUGGGAUGGAGGUUGGGAGAAAAAUGGGAGAAGAAGAGGGUGGGGAAAUCUUAAUCAGGAUAUAUUAUAUGAAAAAAUGGUUUCAAUAAAAUAAAGGACGAAAAAAAGGAAAAAAAAAGACAACAUACACAGAUGGGCUGAAACACUGAAGAGGUGAUGUUCCUAAAAUGAAUCCUAAUCACUUUAUCGUCUGUCUCCAGUACUGUAUGGAUUCUUAAAAAUGGAUUGUAGUUGUAAGUUGGCCUUUCCCAGUGGAUCCUUCAACAUUUAACUACUUCAGAGAAGAAAACAGAGGUACUUGUCUGAAACUGAAGGUCCCUUAGGAAGCUUGAGUUCAAAGUGAUUGCUACUGUGAUGGCGCUGACAUGUGGAACUGCAGAUAGGGAAACUUUCCUCGCUCCUCCCUUCCUGCUCUUGCCCCCUCAC